UACAGAGGUCUCAAGCGUUGUUCGGAUUCAUUGGGCGUAAGGGGUGCGUAGGCGGCGCGGUAAGUCGGGUGUGAAAUCUCGGGGCUUAACUCCGAAACUGCAUUCGAUACUGCCGUGCUUGAGGGACUGGAGAGGAGACUGGGAAUUUACGGUGUAGCGGUGAAAUGCGUAGGUAUCGGGGAGGAACACCAGAGGCGAAGGCGGCUACCUGGACAAUUGCUGACGCUGAGGAGCGAAAGCGUGGGGAGCGAACAGG
rnacentral:rRNA from 1 species